CUCAAGUCUCUACUUUGGUAUCUAUUCCACAGCAGGAACUCAGUACCUGUUGGAUCUUUUUUCUCUAGGUGAUGUGCUGAGCCAUAGGUAGAGCCCAGUACCCAGGACAAAGCAAAGCAAAGCUGCUAGUAUGUGUACUCCAGGAAGUUUCACCAUUGACACAGUAAAGGGAGAGAAGGUGUCUCGGUUCUGGAACUGUACACCCAGUGAGCUCUCAGCUGGAGCUCGGGCAGGAGAAUCCUUUGGGGAUUUGACAGAUGGGUAUUUGUGCAAAGGUGCCAUUUACAUACUGUUACGGCCAUCACCAAGGCUCUCUAGGGCAUAGCCUCUUGGGGGAAGUCUUGGACCUGCUGGAAGAACUGGGAUGUGAGCCUGAACCCAUUUUCCAACUUUCCACCCAAUACCUUUGCUAGACUUGGUAGAGUCAGGACAUGAUAAGAAGGCUGGGAAGAACAACCAUCACUCCAGGACAAAGAAACAGGAGAAAAGGAAGCAGAAUUCAAAUCAAACAGUGACUUGGAGCAUCUAGGAACAAAGCCAACCAAUAAAUAAUCUAGUUACAGACUGUGGUACCUGCCUCCCCCCAGGCAGUGGCAAGACGUCAGGCUCCUGAUGGCUCCCGCAACCCACGUGUAGCAGAGAUGGGCAUAUGGUGAAUGCACAAUCAAUCAAUAGUCAGUUGUCAAAUACAGCAUGUGGUACAGCAGGAACAUGUCAGAACCGGGAAGCAGCGAUAGAACCUUCCUCCUCCCUCACUGAGUGAACAGAGCUUUACACUUCCCCUCAUGGACCCAGAUCCCCACCAAAGUGGCUCACCCAAACCCUUCCAGGUCUUCACGUCUUCCUGGACCUGAAAGACAGAUUGGCUUCCUAGGGCCAUUUUCUAAAAAGAGAAAGGGAGUUGCUCAAUAGAUUUCAUAUCUGCAUCCCAGGAGAGUUAUGGUCGUGUUGCAUGGAUGUGUGGAGGGUCAUCCAUCACCCACAGACACCAGACAGCUCCAGAGAACAACUGACUUCUGUGUUUCCCUCAAGGAAACAUCUUUUUGCAAGAAACAAUGUCCCUUUGAAAGUUACUUUUAGGAGGGAAGUGAAGAUGGAUAUACGCAGUGUAAAGCCCAGGAGAGCCUCCUGAUAGGCAGAAGGCAAUUACUCCAGCCCUGUGGCUGUCCCUUGAACAGCUCUUCUCGUGUCUGCAGAGGUCCAGCCAAGGAUGACAGAGGUGCUUGGCCAAUACCUGUCCAACUGAGGUCCCCUGACCAUUUGCAUCAAACUCACCUUGGGAGCUGAAAAAAGGAAAUAAGGCAAAACCUGAGCCCCAGAGCAAACCAAUUGAAUCAGUCUGCUUUUUUCCUCCAGCUCCUCUGGUGACAUUUAUUCACCUUGAAGUUUUAGAACCGCUAAGUUAGAAGCUCCAAUUCCCUUCCAAAGGAAGACAGGCCAUUAGGUAAAUAGAGACUCUCAGAUUAUUUUCAUUUGGAAACACUUCUGGGAGCUCAAAUCUCUGGAGGUGCAGGGCCGGUGCCUUCAUCUAUGCCCCCAUUUAGUGGCUUUGCAGGGACAGGGUAGCUGGUGGACCUUCAAAUGCUGUUGCCAUGGGAUAUUCACAUUCAAAGGAAAUCCUGAACUGGAAGAAUUCCCAGUGGGUCCCAUGGUGAGAAUAUGCUCAUCUUGCAUGAGAAGAGAAAUAAAAAUAGGAAGCCUGCAGAGGUUUAGCACUCUCUAUUUCCCUAGGAAAGCAAGUCAGUUAGCAGGUUGCUUAGACAUUCUCAAGCCAGACAGGUUCCCCAAGCAAAACCAGCUUCCGGUUUCAUUUCAGUUUCAAGAGAAGACUCAGGGGAGUGGAGAAGGGGAGGAGAGGUGUGGCAAAGAUCAGGGCUGGCUCCAAAUCUGCAGGUUGCCAGCUGGACUUAAGAAUAUGUGUUGAAAAUUGAGGGGUCUGUGAGUCCUAGCCACCUGUCACUAACUACUCUGUGG
rnacentral:lncRNA from 1 species